UACGGGGGGGGGGCAAGCGUUGUUCGGAAUUACUGGGCGUAAAGGGCUCGUAGGCGGCCAACUAAGUCAGACGUGAAAUCCCUCGGCUUAACCGGGGAACUGCGUCUGAUACUGGAUGGCUUGAAUCCGGGAGAGGGAUGCGGAAUUCCAGGUGUAGCGGUGAAAUGCGUAGAUAUCUGGAGGAACACCGGUGGCGAAGGCGGCAUCCUGGACCGGCAUUGACGCUGAGGAGCGAAAGCCAGGGGAGCAAACGGG
rnacentral:rRNA from 1 species